ensembl:lncRNA LINC03082 long intergenic non-protein coding RNA 3082
GACCUGAGCCUUCACAAAUGUCCUUCCUGCAGAACUCUUCAAGCUCGGUUUCCGUUGAGUGCUCUCGCCUUCUUUAUAAGGACAGAAGUUAAAGACACAACCAAUCCCCCAAGGGCUUCUUAAGUAAAGGACUCACGAGGGAACAGCUGAUUCCCACUGGGGACCUUCACUUGCUCAUUUGCAAGGAGGAGGCUGAGAUGUUCUUUUCCAGUUUGAGCUGAGUGGGCAGAUAAAACAUUUUUUCAGGCAAGCGUGCUGAGAAAGCUUUAAAAUCACCUUCGUUUUUUUCCUCAAGAUUGUUUUGGCUGUUUGGGGUCGUUUGUGGUUCCAUAAACAUUUUAGAAUUACUUGUUUCUACUUCUGUGAAAAAUGCCAUUGGAAUUUUGGUAGGAAUUGCACGAAUCUACAGAUUGCUUUGGGACUAAGCCAGUGGAUCACAAACAUCCUGGAGAGCAGUGACUCUGUGAUUCCAUCACAAGAAUAUGAAGGACUGAGAAGAUCUCCAGCUCUGCCCAUUGCACCUUCCCAUUGAGAAGCAGCAUGGCACCCUGGUGGCAGGGGCUGAUACUCAGCCGGGCCAGGGUGCUCUCCUGUUAACCAUAACCAAGCUCACAGGACAUGGGAUGAGCCCACUGUGUGACACAGGGAGCGGGACACAGUCUGUUAAGUCUUGCACAGCCAUGCUCUGCCACGCAGGCAGGCCUUUCCUUGGCCUCCCUCUCCCUGUUCGUGCUCAUGUGAACAUCCACCUACGUGGAUAGACUGGGCUUUGGUUCAUUAUUGCUCUGUGAAUUCCUCGAACUUCCGCAUCUGCCCAACCUCCCCCACCCCAUUGUUUUCAUUGUGUUUCACCAAAUGGAAAUUCUAGAGUAAGCAUGUGAGUCCUCUCCCAAACUUGUUCACUGUUGAGAGUGCUAAAAUGCUAACCCCAGAUGCUAACUGAGGGGUAGGGUUACCUUAUCUUUAGAGCACUGCGAAUUGUAUGUUAAGUGGAACUUAAUGAAAAAAUAGUUAAUUGACCAACAUGAAUAUCCCCUGAACAGAAUCUCCCCUGAACAGAAUCCUACAAUGAAACUAAGGGAGAUAAAUAAAGCUGUUUACCUGAAA